CAGCCCCUCGAGUGGUGGGGAUGAUUAUUUGGCCUAAAGCGUCCGUAGCCGGCCGAGUAAGUCCCCCGUUAAAUCCAGCGUCUCAAGCGUUGGACUGCGGGAGAUACUACUUGGCUAGAGAGUGGAAGAGGUCAGCGGUAUUCUGGGGGUAGGGGCGAAAUCCUUUGAUCCCCGGAGGACCACCAGUGGCGAAGGCUGCUGACUAGAACACGUCUGACGGUCAGGGACGAAAGCUGGGGUAGCGAACCGGAUUAGAUACCCGAGUAGUCC
rnacentral:rRNA from 1 species